rnacentral:rRNA from 1 species
UUUUGGUGAGGUGCCUUCCGAGUUCCCUGGAACGGGACGCCAUAGAGGGUGAGAGCCCCGUCUGGUUGGACGCCGAACCUCUGUAAAGCUCCUUCGACGAGUCGAGUAGUUUGGGAAUGCUGCUCUAAAUGGGAGGUAUAUGUCUUCUAAAGCUAAAUACCGGCCAGAGACCGAUAGCGCACAAGUAGAGUGAUCGAAAGAUGAAAAGAACUUUGAAAAGAGAGUUAAAAAGUACGUGAAAUUGUUGAAAGGGAAGCGCUUGUGACCAGACUUGGGCUUGGUUGAUCAUCCGGGGUUCUCCCCGGUGCACUCUUCCGGCCCAGGCCAGCAUCAGUUCGCCCUGGGGGACAAAGGCUUCGGGAACGUGGCUCUCUCCGGGGAGUGUUAUAGCCCGUUGCGUAAUACCCUGUGGCGGACU